GGUCGAGUGGUUAAGGUUGCUUGCGUUGAAUCACUCAGCCUUCACUGACGGGGGCUCGAGCCUCAUUUGGAGUGUUAAAUUCUUUGUGUGAGGAAGUCAUCCAGCUGGCUUACAGAAGGUUGGUGGUUCUACCCAGGUGCCUGCUUGUGAUGAAAUAAGCAUGGGGACCGCUGGGAUCUCCCCAUCAAAGCUUGAAACUGGCCAUAUGACCAAUAAUUGUGUUGGUGCGACGUUAUUCCCAAAACUGGCAUUCUUUCUUAUACCCUUUCGGCGAUGGAUUACAUCAGGAAUGAGGUGUCAAGAGUGAUUAAUAUAAGUUGUAGAGCAUGUUCCGAUAUUGUCCUUAAAUUAUAAAUUUUGUAUAAAGUAAUAUCUGAUUCUUGAAUUCACAAAAAUAAUUGUCAAUGAAAUUGGUAGAUCAAACAGUGGAAAAUUAUUAACUUAACCAUUGUGUUCUUCCAUAUCAGGUUGUUAUACACCAAACUAUGUUUUUACAUAUUCCAUUUAAUUUGUGUGUAUUUUAAACAACUUGUUAUAAAUCAACUGAUAUAUACAUGUAUAUUGAUUCAAGAUGUUUGUUAGUGAACAAAAUUGUGCCACUUAAUGUUAUAUGUAUUAUAUGUUUUUGUUUUGACAUUAAAUCUCACAAGGCAUUGAAAUGAUAUUACUCUAAUAAUCAAUAUUCUUUAUGUCAAAGAAAGUUUGUGAAUUUUUGAUAAGAUGACAUUUGUAUGCAGCAAUGUUUGUCAAAGAGAUAAUUCACAAAACAAAAAAUCUGUUUGCAGAAAUGUUGAUUAAAAAGAUAAUUUUGAAAAAUAAGACAGAUUUUAAUUUUUUCUCAUAAAAUUAUUCAUUGUGAUAGCAUACUUAUUAUCAGGCAGUUGUUUAAAUGUUAUAAAAGCUUGCAACUUGUCAACACCAACUGACAAAUGUUUUCAGGGUGUGUUAAAAUCUCAAACUAUACUUUUUAUUUAAUAAUACUAGUAUGUAAGAGAAGCUAAAUAGAACAACCAGCCAACAGCAGGUGGUUUAUAUAUGUUUAUUGCCCUAUUUUUUUAUCAGUACUAGACCUUCUUCAGGAGGCAUACAUUUUGUUGUUUGAUAAAUAUUAGGGAUAUUAAAUCUAUCCAAUUCUAAAAGCUGUUGAUUGAGUAAAUUUCAUGUAGGUUUUUUAAAGCGAUUAUACGGUUAGCAGCCUUAAACGUAACAAAGAAAGAACUGAGGUUAACUGGCUGCCAAGCAAUGGGCAGCCAUGAAGAUAUGACCAGUAAAUGAAAUUAUUUUUAUUCAGAAAACAAUUUUAAAUAUUCAUGUAUAUAUUGAAUUCACAAGUGACAUUAUUACCCAAUGUUAGGGAAAUAAUAAAACCAGCGUGAACAUAACUCAAUCAACAGUUAGCAGAAAUGAUGACAGAACUAUGCAGGAUUUGAAAACAAAUCACCUUUCCUUAAGGAAGCAUUUGACUUGAAACAUUUGCAGUAAGUUAACUUUGUGAAAAUAAAUUGUAAACACUGCAGAUAUGUUAGCAUUGUAAAAUUUACUGCCUAUAGAUGUAGAGUAACUGUAGUUGAAUUGAAAUACAUUCUAACAUGACUGGAUUUGUUUUCCUAAAAAUACUGAAACUGACGUAAUUUUGCAACAAAAUCACUGUUUAUAUGUUAUAUCUAUCAUGUUAUAGUAUCAAGAAGUGGUAUGCUGAAAAUAAAUGCAAUGCAAAACAGGCAGAUAUUUGGCAGGUGUCGUCAAGGGUGUACAUAGUAAUCAGAAUCAAAGCAGUGAUUUUCUCUCGAUUGAAAUUAACCUUUAGCCUGCUGGGGCAAAUGAUUCUGCCUUUGCGACCAGUGCAGACAAAGAUCAGCCUGCACAUCCGUGCAGUCUGAUCAUGGUCUGCACUGUUCGCUAUUCAGUUAGUAAAAUUUUCAGUGGACACCCCUUCAAAUAUUAAAUGGUACUGCCUAAAUUGAAUGAUGAACCUUUCCAUUUUCAAAAUUGAGCAGGGUAAAGGUUAAAGAUGCAAAGGAAUCAUAUUGAGAGGGGUAUGUUGGAUUUCAUUGAGAAAAUUGCUGACCAAUUUUUCAAAAUAUCUGCAGAACCAUUUUCCUAUUCUAUUAUAUUAACACUAUUAUAUUAAAAAAUGUUUCAGGCUUUGUUUAGUAAAUGUUUAGUUUUCUGAAUUUUAAGCAGUUUCCAGGUAUGCGAUAAGCUGUAAUGUGAUAAAUUGCAAGAUUGGUCAAAUGUUUAUGCACCAGCUAUAGAAUGCUUUCUAUGUAUAGUAACCAAAAGCAGUCACACUGAUUUAAUUGUAAUUAUCUUAAAAAAUGUUUGAUGAUUUGCUUCCUAUAUGUAUUGUAAAGUAUUUUCAUUUACUAAUGCAUACUUAAUUUAUGUCAUCAUAUUAAUUGAUCAUUAUUCAUUUGAAAAUGAGAAAUAAAAUAUAAAUGCUCUAAAAA